UACGAAGGGUGCAAACGUUGCUCGGAAUUACUGGGCGUAAAGCGCACGUAGGCGGACUAUUAAGUCAGGGGUGAAAUCCCGGGGCUCAACCCCGGAACUGCCUUUGAUACUGGUGGUCUAGAGUCCGGAAGAGGUGAGUGGAAUUCCGAGUGUAGAGGUGAAAUUCGUAGAUAUUCGGAGGAACACCAGUGGCGAAGGCGGCUCACUGGUCCGGUACUGACGCUGAGGUGCGAAAGCGUGGGGAGCAAACAGG
rnacentral:rRNA from 1 species